rnacentral:rRNA from 1 species
UACGAAGGGUGCAAGCGUUACUCGGAAUUACUGGGCGUAAAACGUGCGUAGGUGGUUCGUUAAGUCUGUCGUGAAAGCCCCGGGCUCAACCUGGGAAUGGCGAUGGAUACUGGCGGGCUAGAGUGCGGUAGAGGAGAGUGGAAUUCCCGGUGUAGCAGUGAAAUGCGUAGAGAUCGGGAGGAACAUCAGUUGCGAAGGCGGCUCUCUGGACCAGCACUGACACUGAGGCACGAAAGCGUGGGGAGCAAACAGG